rnacentral:rRNA from 1 species
AACCUCCGCAAUGUGAGAAAUCGCGACGGGGGGAUCCCAAGUGCCAUUCUUAACGGGAUGGCUUUUCAUUAGUGUAAAGAGCUUUUGGAAUAAGAGCUGGGCAAGACCGGUGCCAGCCGCCGCGGUAACACCGGCAACUCUAGUGGUAGCAAUUUUUAUUGGGCCUAAAGCGUCCGUAGCCGGUUUAAUAAGUCUCUGGUGAAAUCCUGUAGCUUAACUGUGGGAAUUGCUGGAGAUACUAUUAGACUUGAGAUCGGGAGAGGUUAGAGGUACUCCCAGGGUAGAGGUGAAAUUCUGUAAUCCUGGGAGGACCGCCUGUUGCGAAGGCGUCUAACUGGAACGAUUCUGACGGUGAGGGACGAAAGUUAGGGGCGCGAACCGGAUUAGAUACCCGGGUAGUCCUAACUGUAAACGAUGCGGACUUGGUGUUGGGGUGGCUUUGAGCUGCUCCAGUGCCGAAGGGAGCUGUUAAGUCCGCCGCCUGGGAAGUACGGUCGCAAGACUGAAACUUAAAGGAAUU